GAGAAAUUGCGGAGUUGCUCUUUGGCUGACAUGCUGCAGGGUCGGCUAAUAUAUCCAGGCUCCCAAAUGAUGGGAUGACCUUUCCACCUCGGCCAGGACUGUAGCGUCACUCACAGCGUGAAGUGAGAACUCAUCUCCUUGCUAAACACUUCACAGUGCUCUCCUCUCCACCUCCCCUCCUCCACUUGCAUCUGAUUUGAAUCCUGCCUCAGAAGAAAGGGGAAGUCCCAGGGUGGUUUCCUUCAUCCAGGCAUCGAAGACAAGAACCUGUCAAAACCUCAGCUGGAGUCCAGCGCAGGCUCUCUGUGGCCUGGUUUUGCCCUCAACAUGGCAGGACUGCAGCAGAGAACCCACAGAGGAAUAUUCUGUCCCCAGGGGAAGAGAAUCGAGCUUCUGUAGGACUGACAACUUCCCCAGAGACCUGCGGAUGAAUGGAGAGGAGAGGAGAGGAGAGAGGAGCUCGGCUCACCUCAGCUCAGCUAUUGAUGAGCUUUUCCUCUCCCACGGCCCUCCACCAUGCAGCCCCUGGCCGUCUGGACACCCGCCACGUGUGAACAAGCUUUCAGCUCACAUCAUCUUCUCCACUUCCACCUAUAAUUGGCCAUAUGUGUCACCAGUACCCUGCUGCUGCUGCUGCUGCUUCUGCUGGAGGGGAAAGAAAGGAAGAUCACAGCUUUGACAAGGUGAUUGUUGGGGGGGCUCUUGCUUUGACGUGUCAGGUAAACCAUAUUUUUUCAAACACUUCUGAACUCUUAAACCGUCUUGCCUUUUAAAUGAAAAGUAAGUAACCUGUUCUAUAAUGAGCAUCUGCUGUUUUUUUAACUGCUGAAACU